rnacentral:rRNA from 1 species
CCCUUAGAUGUUCUGGGCCGCACGCGCGCUACACUGACUGGAGCAACGAGUUUAUAACCUUCACCGAGAGGUGUGGGUAAUCUUGUGAAUUCCAGUCGUGUUGGGGCUAGAUUUUUGCAAUUUUCGAUCUUAAACGAGGAAUUCCUAGUAAGCGUGAUUCAUCAGAUCGCGUUGAUUACGUCCCUGCCCUUUGUACACACCGCCCGUCGCUACUACCGAUCGAAUGGUUUAGUGAGACAUCGAGAUCCGCUUCUGGCACUGGGCAACUAGAGCCUAAAGCAGAGAACUUUUUCAAACUUGAUCAUUUAGAGGAAGUAAAAGUCGUAACA